rnacentral:lncRNA from 10 species
GGGUCUGUCUCUGUCACCCAGGCUGCAGAGCAGUGGCGCUAUCAUAGCUUACUGCAGCCUUGAACUCCUGGGGACAAACGAUCCUCCCACCUUGGCAUCCCACAUCCUGAGUAGCUGGGACUACAGGCUCUUUGCUGACCACAAGGUUUACAAGAAGAAUAUGAAGGCCCUUUUGUUGCUGAGAUUAUAGUCUGAUGGGGAAGACAGACUUUGCCCUAAAGGGAAAGAACAGUCAUUAAAUGUCUUACAGCAGAGAAUGCUUUGUAUAGCCUUGUAUUUUAGAAAUAUAAUUUUGAGUUUCCUGUGAAGAACAUUUUGUGGCAGGUAUCAGAAAAAAACUGAAGACUGAAGAACAGUUUGUAGGCUCUGGAAAUAUCAAGUGUCUACAAAAUACAAAAUUUUGUUAAGCACUGAAAAUUCUAGAACAAUAUAUAUGACAUUGUUCUUGCCUCCAUCAACCUAAAUAACUGAGAGAGACUUUCUAAAAGAAAAUAAUAUUUAUUUGGGAAUAGAGCAUUGCAAUGGGUAUAAAUGUGCCGUAGUGAACUAUUUCAUAUGUGUACAUUCAGGAAGGUAAAGGAAGACAAGGGUUUUUGAAGGAAAAAUGAGAAAGAUUACAUAAUUGUUUUGAGAUAAUUCUCCUUAGUAACCAGGAUCAACAACAACAGUCCAAAUUUGGACAGGCAAUUGUCCUCUCAGAAGUAUUUUUUCGUAAGGUUGUGAUGGCCUUUGUGCAAGACUAAUAACAAGUCUUGUUAUUAGUCAUUUAUGCAUGAGAAUGUUCCCACUGUGGCCUUCUCGGACUCCAGUUUUUUUUGUUUUUUUUUAAACACGAGUGACUCCAUUUUGAUUCUGACAUCUUUCACAUCUCCAAGUAGUUAGCAUAUAUGUACAGACACAUGGCGUAAAACCACAGGAGGGUAGAUAACAAUACUGGCUUUGUAUUCCUUAGAGGCUUAAAGUGUUUUUAUUUUUCUUUGUAUUUCAUUUUUGGAGCAGAGUUGUUGCUCAGUAAGUAUUUUAAAGAAUGAGUGGGCUUAAAGACUAUCUAACAAACAAAUGAUAAACAAUUUUAAAGGGAUGAGAAUUUCACCUAAACAAAUAAUUACCACUGAGUGUGAAGACUUCAGGUAUUAGGUAGAGACAGCAGAGAAGAGGGAGUCAUUAACUCCCUUCACAUGAGACAGGACAUCUUCUCUGAAAUGGACCUGCAGGUAACAUUUUUUUCCAGAUGGGCACAAGGAGAUAAGAAUAUUUUACAGAGAAAUCCACGAGCAAAAGCAUGGUAGUUGAGAAAAUAUUUGCAAUUCUCCAGCUUUCUGUGAAUUAGUCACCUGGAGUAUAUGCAGGAAGGGAUUAGGGCUAAAAGAUAAGAGGAAUUCAAUAGAUGGAGACCACAUAUCGAAGAGCUUCAUAUGCUAUGCAAAGUAAUUUAAAUCAUACCUUGUAGUCCCUUAAGAGAUUUUGAGCAGGGGAGAGGAAUGGUCAGAUGUGUUAGUAGUUCACUUCAGCAGCAUUAUGGAGGAUGCAUUGGAGAAACUGAAGCAAAGUCAGGAAGAGUAAUUAAAUUGUUAUUGGGAAACUUCCAUUUAAGGGCAGUUAAGAUGAUGGUUCUGCUUUCCAAAUUCACCCAAAACAACAGAAAACUGAAAACUUAGACUCUAGUAUUGACAAAAAAACAAAACAAAAAACCCUAGAAGGUCUCUUGACUCUGAACUACCAUUUAUGAGGGGGAUGGAAGAUUAUGGGAAGACACAAUAAAUAAUCUUCUUGACUGAAUAUUGCAGGCAUUAGAGCUGAGUACUAUACUUUCAAGCAGGUGGAAUACACUGAAGCAAGGUUAUAAGCCAUUACAUUAUAGAAACAUAGCAUCUGAGGGCAGAGAAGGGAGAGAGAGUUACUGGGAAAUAGUGUAAGUAUGUUAUUAUAGGUAUGUAGCUGUCAAUAAAAAAAAAAAAAGGAAUUUGAACUAGGAUUGUCAUUUUACCUCCUUUAGGGCAGAAUGCAUAAGUUGCCAAGAAAAUCCAAGAGUUACACUAAAUAAAUUCUCCGCACUGAAGAAACAUGAGUGGUGGGUAAAAAUUGUUCUGCUGACAAAUAUGGAUGAAAAAAGACCCUCAUUUUAUAACAGCAUUCUGAGAAUUUAUAUAAUGAGAAAAAGGGCAAUAACUUCCAAAAUUAAGGGAUAGUUCAAUAUAUGAUAAAAGUCAUCUUACUGAAGUGUACAAUUCAGUGGUUUUUAGUAUAUUUACAGAGUUGUGCAAUGACUGCUAUUGUCUAACUUCAGAACAUUUUAAUCACUCGUAGAAGAAACUGUAUCCAUAGCAGUCACCCUCUAUUCUCCCCACUCCUCCCACUCCUGGCAAUAGUAGCCAACUUUAUGUCUCUAUGGAUUUGUCUAUUCUGGACAUUUUAUAUAAAUGUAAUCAUAUAAUAAGUGGCUUGUUGUGCCUGGCUUCUUUUACUUGGCAUGUUUUUAAGGUUCAUCCAUGUAUGUAUCAGAAAUCCAUGAUGUUUUGUAGAGAGAUACUCUAUUACGUGGAUAAAUCGUUUUGUUUGUUCAUUCAUUCGCUGAUGGACAUUUGGAUUGUUUUUGUCUUCUGGCUAUUAUGAAAAAUGUAAUGAACAUUCAUGUACAACUUUUUCUGUAGACAUAUGUUUUAAUUCUCUUCAGCAUAUACCUAG